CCUACGGGGCGCAGCAGGCGCGAAAACUUGGCAAUGCGAGAAAUCGUGACCAGGGAACUCCAAGUGCAUCGGGUAAGACCGGUGCUUUUCUUGACUCUAAAUAGGUCUUGGAAUAAGGGGUGGGUAAGGACGGUGCCAGCCGCCGCGGUAAUACCGGCGCCUCAAGUGGUGGUCGCUUUUAUUGGGCCUAAAACGUCCGUAGCCGGUCUGAUACAUUCGUGGGUAAAUCAACCAGCUCAACUGGUUGAAUUCUGCGAGGACGGUCAGACUUGGGACCGGGAGAGGUGUGGGGUACGCUCAGGGUAGGGGUAAAAUCCUGUCAUCCUGAGCGGACCACCUGUUGCGAAGGCGCCACGCUAGAACGGAUCCGACGGUCAGGGACGAAGCCUAGGGGCACGAACCGGAUUAGAUACCCUCGUAGUC
rnacentral:rRNA from 1 species